rnacentral:lncRNA from 10 species
GCACGCAGAGCCGCAAGCUGGUGGAAGCGCUGUGCGCCGCGGGCCACCGCGCCGAACUGCUCCGGUUCCCGGAAAGAUCAACUGAAAUCGGCAAACUUCUGAGUUCCUACUUGCAAAAGAAAAGUGACGUGGAGGAUCACUCGACAGGGUCUCUGUGUCAUGCAGGCUGAGUGCAGUGCGCAAUCACAGCUUACUGCAGCCUCGACCUCCCGGGUUCAAGUGAUCUUCCCACCUCAGCCUCCCAAGUAGCUGCAACUAUAGGCACGUUAACACACCUGGCUAAUUUUUGUAAAAUUUUUUGUAGCGAUGGAGUCUCACUAUU